rnacentral:rRNA from 1 species
AUGAACGCUAGCGGCAGGCUUAANACAUGCAAGUCGAGGGGGUAUAGGGAGCUUGCUUCCUAGAGACCGGCGCACGGGUGCGUAACGCGUAUGCAAUCUACCUUUGCAGAGGGAUAGCCCAGAGAAAUUUGGAUUAAUACCUCAUAGUAUAGCAGUUUCGCAUGAAACCACUAUUAAAGUCACAACGGCAAAAGAUGAGUAUGCGUCCCAUUAGCUAGAUGGUAAGGUAACGGCUUACCAUGGCAACGAUGGGUAGGGGUCCUGAGAGGGAGAUCCCCCACACUGGUACUGAGACACGGACCAGACUCCUACGGGAGGCAGCAGUGAGGAAUAUUGGACAAUGGGCGCAAGCCUGAUCCAGCCAUGCCGCGUGCAGGAAGACGGUCCUAUGGAUUGUAAACUGCUUUAUACAGGAAGAAACACUCGGACGUGUCCGAACUUGACGGUACUGUAUGAAUAAGCAUCGGCUAACUCCGUG